rnacentral:rRNA from 1 species
AAAAGAAACCAACAGGGAUUGCCUCAGUAACGGCGAGUGAAGCGGCAAAAGCUCAAAUUUGAAACCCUCGGGAUUGUAAUUUGAAGAUUUGGCAUUGGAGAAAGCUAACCCAAGUUGCUUGGAAUAGUACGUCAUAGAGGGUGACAACCCCGUCUGGCUAACCGUUCUCCAUGUAUUGCCUUAUCAAAGAGUCGAGUUGUUUGGGAAUGCAGCUCAAAGUGGGUGGUAAACUCCAUCUAAAGCUAAAUACUGGUGAGAGACCGAUAGCGAACAAGUACUGUGAAGGAAAGGUGAAAAGAACUUUGAAAAGAGAGUGAAAUAGUAUGUGAAAUUGUUGAUAGGGAAGGAAAUGAGUGGAGAGUGGCCGAGGUUUCAGCCGCCCCUCGUGGGCGGUGUACUGCCGACGCCGAGUCAUCGAUAGCGAGACGAGGGUUACAAAUGGGAGCGCCUUCGGGCGUUCUCCCCUAACCCUCCACACUGCCACCGACGACAUAAUCCACCCAUUUCACCCGUCUUGAAACACGGACC